rnacentral:rRNA from 1 species
AUUGAACGCUGGCGGCAGGCCUAACACAUGCAAGUCGAACGAGUGGCGGACGGGUGAGUAAUGUCUGGGAAACUGCCUGAUGGAGGGGGAUAACUCCUGGAAACGGUAGCUAAUCCCGCAUACCAUCAGAUGUGCCCAGAUGGGAUUAGUUUGUGGGUGGGGUAACGGCUCACAAAGGCGACGAUCCAUAGCUGGUCUGCGAGGAUGACCAGCCACACUGGAACUGAGACACGGUCCAUACUCAUACGGGAGGCAGCAGUGGGGAAUAUUGCGCAAUGGGCGCAAGCCUGAUGCAGCCAUGCCGCGUGUAUGAAGAAGGCCUUCGGGUUGUAAAGUUCUUUCAGCGGGGAGGCGUUACCCGCAGAAGAAGCACCGGCUAACUCCGUGCCAGCAGCCACGGUAAUAC